rnacentral:rRNA from 1 species
GACGGGGGGGGCAAGUGUUCUUCGGAAUGACUGGGCGUAAAGGGCACGUAGGCGGUGAAUCGGGUUGAACGUGAAAGUCGCCAAAAACUGGCGGAAUGCUCUCGAAACCAAUUCACUUGGGUGAGACAGAGGAGAGUGGAAUUUCGUGUGUAGGGGUGAAAUGCGCAGAUAUCGGGAAGAACACCCGUGGCGAAGGCGGCACUCUGGGACGGUACUGACGCUGAGACGCGAAAGCGUGGGGAGCGAACAGG